rnacentral:rRNA from 1 species
UACGUAGGGGGCAAGCGUUGUCCGGAUUUAUUGGGCGUAAAGCGCGUGUAGGCGGCCAUACAGGUCCGUUGUGAAAACUCGAGGCUUAACCUCGAGACGUCGAUGGAAACCGUAUGGCUAGAGUCCGGAAGAGGAGAGUGGAAUUCCUGGUGUAGCGGUGAAAUGCGCAGAUAUCAGGAAGAACAUCCGUGGCGAAGGCGGCUCUCUGGGACGGUACUGACGCUGAGACGCGAAAGCGUGGGGAGCGAACAGG